rnacentral:rRNA from 1 species
GAACGAACGCUGGCGGCAUGCCUAACACAUGCAAGUCGAACGAACCCUUCGGGGUUAGUGGCGCACGGGUGCGUAACGCGUGGGAAUCUGCCCUUUGCUUCGGAAUAACAGUUAGAAAUGACUGCUAAUACCGGAUGAUGACUUCGGUCCAAAGAUUUAUCGGCAAAGGAUGAGCCCGCGUAGGAUUAGGUAGUUGGUGGGGUAAAGGCCUACCAAGCCGACGAUCCUUAGCUGGUCUGAGAGGAUGAUCAGCCACACUGGGACUGAGACACGGCCCAGACUCCUACGGGAGGCAGCAGUGGGGAAUAUUGGACAAUGGGGGCAACCCUGAUCCAGCAAUGCCGCGUGAGUGAUGAAGGCCUUCGG